rnacentral:lncRNA from 1 species
GAAAGACCCGUGGAGAGAUAGCAGCUCCUUCUUGUAGCAUCAAACGCCAUCCUUGUCUGUGCAAACUGAUCCCUAUUCCCAGGAAGGUUGUGGGAAUAUGUUUCAUACCAGCGACACCUGCUGAAAUGUUCUUUUCUGCCAUCAGAGGUGCUGGAGAUCUGUUCCCCUUUGCACCUGACCAUUCUACCAUUCACCCUCUGCCUGCAGCCCCUGCCUUAGUCUUACAAAGAGCCUAUGAAGCAAAUUAGGUAGGUUAUAUCCCCUUGGUAGGCUUUGUGCCUGAGAUCUGAAGAAAGAAAAAGUUGUUUUGAAAAGAUGCAUUUGAAAGGAAAAAAAAGAAUGAAAAGGAAGACUGGACUCCUGGACCAUUUACAGGUGAGCCAAUUCCAGCAGCCAAAGGAGUUUUGUUAACUUUUUCACAUAAAGCCUGGAAAUUCAUUGUCCUGUACAACUAUUAAAGGUCCAGAAGCCCAGUUCCCCUGCUUUGCAUCUGAUCCACCUACUGGGGUUCCUUACCUGUCAGGGUGGUCCAGCAGCAAGGAUGUCCCAGACAUCCUCUAAGACCUUGUGAGUGGACACAGGAUCACGCCUAGGACUGGUGCUGCAAUAUACUGGAAUGCAUUUGCUUGAAAGACGCCUGGAUGGCUUCUUUCAACCCCUCCCUUGAAGCUGCUUGCCCCCUAAGUGUCAAGCAAGCAAGUGGCAUUUGGGUACAAUAAAUUAGCCUGGAGACUGUAGUCUCUAUGCUCACUGGGAGCAAGAGGGUGAGGUUGUAGGGAGGUCAGCAUUGUGCAGGCGCGCCAGCAGAGUCAAUAUGGUGCUCCUGCUGGUCUGCACAGUGCUGACCUCUUCAUCACCUUGCCCUCUCUGCUGCUUCACAGCACCCCUCCCUUCCUCGAAGGUAAGAGUGGCUUGGUGGCUGUAAAUCCUGCUUUAUAGAGCACGGUCCUCUAUUUGAAGAGCUGUCUGGUCCAAAUCUGGUUAAAACAUUGAAGAACCCAGGGAGGAAGUGCAGGGAGGGGACCUUGAAGUUGUCCAUCAACAUCUGGCAGUACCUGUGCAGCAGGUGGUCGCAGCCCUCCCAACUAUGGUGAGAUGCAUUGUGUUUCUAUUUAAGCCACACGGCUUAUUUCUAAAUCUGCAUCUCCACAUACAGAUUUUGCAGGUGUGCAUUUUAUGCAAAUAUGUGUCCUCUUUUGGGGGAAGAGGCGUUCCCUGGUUUUUUUGGCGCUGCAUUAGCAUCUGUCCUGGAGAUGGUGGGAAGCCUGUGAGCAUUGGAGGAAGGGUGUCAUUUUGCAGAAGGAACGUAGAGGGCACUAGUGCUUCAGUUAUGCUUUCUGCACAGAGCAGUGUUCCUUCUCAGGGAACUCUGGGCGUUGAAUCAGAUGGCAGGCUUUGGAUGGCCAGGAGACGAUAGUGAGUGUGCAUAUACAGGAAAGGACAGAGUGUGAUUGAUUUCCCAGCACAGAGUACCAUGUGUUGCUUUCUGGGAGCUCCUUGAGGUCUCUUUGAGGAGGCAAGCAUAGCCCCCAGCUGUUGAGCAAAAUAAAACAAAAUCUUUAAAAUGGGAAUGCCAUUUCCUGGAUACAGCUGCAGUGGAGGGGGCGUGAACAGUAGCGGAGUGUAAGCACCAAACCUGCCACUGUCCCUCUCCCCCUGCUUUUUUGGGUGUGUGUUAACAUUUAUAUCAGCAACCUCAGAUAUACAGAUGAUACAUCUCUGAUGGCAGAAAGUCAGGAGGAAUUAAAGAACCUCUUAAUGAGGGUGAAAGAGGAGAGCGCAAAAUAUGGUCUGAAGCUCAACAUCAAAAAAACUAAGAUCAUGGCCACUGGUCCCAUCACCUCCUGGCAAACAGAAGGGGAAGAAAUGGAGGCAGUGAGAGAUUUUACUUUCUUGGGCUGCAUGAUCACUGCAGAUGGCGACAGCAGUCACGAAAUUAAAAGAUGCCUGCUUCUUGGGAGAAAAGUGAUGACAAACCUAGACAGCAUCUUUAAAAAGCAGAGACAUCACCUUGCGGACAAAGGCCCGUAUAGUUAAAGCUAUGGUUUUCCCAGUAGUGAUGUAUGGAAGUGAGAGCUGGACCAUAAAGAAGGCUGAUCGCAGAUGCAUUUGAAUUAUAGUGCUGGAUGAGACUCUUGAGAGUCCCAUGGACUGCUAGAAGAUCAAACCUAUCCAUUCUGAAGGAAAUCAGCCCUGAGUGCUCACUGGAAGGACAGAUCCUGAAGCUGAGGCUCCAAGACUUUGGCCACCUCAUGAGAAGAGAAGACUCCCUGGAAAAGACCCUGAAGUUGGGAAAGAGGAGGAGGAGACGACAGAGGGUGAAAUGGUUGGACAGUGUUCUCAAAGCUACCAACAUGAGUUUGACCAAACUGCGGGAGGCAGUGGAAGACAGGAGUGCCUGGCGUGCUCUGGUCCAUGGGGUCACGAAGAGGCGGACACGACUACAGUAAACAACUAAACUACAACAUUUAGUCCUGUUCUAAAACCUCAGGAGGACAUACACGCUCACUUCCAAAAUAUUCUGCAACACUUUUGAUGAGAGCUGUUUAUGGUUGUUGGUGGUAGUCUGCAUUCCUGCUGUAACAGCCUGUAAUCUUAUGAUAGCUUCUAAGGUUGUUAUUUCCAUCCAGACAAUAUCUGCUUCCAAGCCAAACGAUGCUGGCGUGCAUCCUUCCUUGAGGUGAAUAAAGUGGAAAAUGCCAUGCUUAAGGAUAAUCCAGAUUGGUAGCUAACUGGCUAUGCCUGGGGGUGGGGGAAACUGAACUGUCUGAAUACUGGAAACGUCAAAGAAUUGUAGCACUGUAGAGUUGGAAGUGAUCCAGGCAUCACUAGUCCAACCCCCUGCAAUGCUUCCUCUUCAUGUUGUUCCCUGAGAGUAGGGGUAGACAACAUGGUUCCCUCUAGAUAUUGUAGGCUCAAACUCCAAUCACCCUGGUCAUUGGCCACGCUAGCUAGGGCUGAUGGGAGUUGGAAUCCAACAACAUCUGAAGGACACCAUAUAGACUACCCCUACCCUAGAUGGCUCAAGACAGUAAAACAAACAAACACAUGUAAUUUCUACCAGGGUAGAUUGAUUUUUUUUUUUUUACACAUGGUACAGUCAAGUAGACUCCACUCCUAAAACUGUAUUCCCCUGAGCGGUUGUUCAGGGUGCAGAUGGUCUGAUUCAGUACAGUGGUACCUCGGGUUACAGACGCUUCAGGUUACAGAUGCUUCAGGUUACAGACUCCGCUAACCCAGAAAUAGUACCUUGGAUUAAGAACUUUGCUUCAGGAUGAGAACAGAAAUCGCACGGCAGCAGCGGGAGGCCCCAUUAGCUAAAGUGGUGCUUCAGGUUAAGAACAGUUUCAGGUUAAGAAUGGACCUCUGGAAUGAAUUAAGUACUUAACCCAAGGUACCACUGUAUACUCUAACAACACUUGGAGGAUUUGGUGGGUGACUCCUGAAUGUGUGAAAUCUGUGCUGAUGUGAUUUGUGUGUGUAGUUUGCACGCCAUCCUCAGCUCCUUGGAGGAAAGGUGCUAUAGAAAGGUCCUAAAUAAAUAAGGAUGGCUGUACAUGCCUCAUCUCUGGGAUUCUAGAUAUGGAAUUGGCCCAGAAUGUUUCCUCCCCGCUUGCUCCCAAGCAGUGACUACUCCAUUUGAUUCAAGGCAUAAUAGGUAACUCAGAAAUUGGUUGUGUUCCUCUUUGGACUGUUCAGGGUUAGCACCACCAGGAAGGACACACCCAGGCCAGCAAGAGGACACAAAGCAUCAGAAUCACAGGCUGGCCAACAAUGAAGUAUCUAUUACAUCAUGCCUGUGUUUCCGAUCAGUAGAGAACAACUGUUGUGUGGUGGUGCCAGCCUGUCUGCCCAUUUCAGAGGGAGACACACAAUUUCCUUCCCUCAACCCCUCUUCCUGGCCUUUGAGUUCUGAGUCACUGCCGGAUGAAGUGAUUAACCUCUUGUUCAAGAGAGACCAGCUUUGAAAUGGACAAGCAUCAGCAAAGGCUUGGGACUCAUUCAUGCAGUGGUGCAGUUCGGCCCAAAGCCCAGAGCCCCACAAUCCAAGGGUCCCUGAAUUGAUAAUCCAGGGCCAGGGAGUGGCCAGUGUUGCGGGGUGGGAGGUGGCAAAGAGACUCUGUAUUGGCACCUGGACCAACAUGGGUAUGCUGGGAAUAAGGACAGGCAAAUCUGUCAAUUUCAUUUUUCUUAGUUUCUCAUUUUUCUAAUUUUCCAGUUCUUCACUUCUACAACAAUUUGUGGAUAGGAGAAAAAAAAACCCGUAGGGAAAUUUGCAAAUUUCUCCUUAUGAACAUAUCGUAUGGCAUUGUGACCAAUAUACACAUAUUGUAUGUGGUUUUCGUGGUGUUAGCAAACUUCACAAGUAAAGGAAUUCUGGUUGAAAACAGACCAAACGAUGCCUUUCCCCUCCAACCAAGAUUGGGCUCCCUGAAGCAGUUCAAAGUUAUAAGCCACCAAAAUGGUUCAACAUAAAGCUACUUAUGGCAGAGUCUCUUCUGAUCUUGGUAGCUGAUGGCAUAAUCAAAGUUCCAGGCUCUUCUCUCCAAAGAGAGGCCAUAGAGGGCACUGUUGGCGGUCUUGGAUGUUGGCUGGUAAUCUUGGAAGUUGACUGUCCACCAAUGCAGCAUCUUAUAGAUACUGGCAGUUCAAGGCCCUACUCUCCAAAAGGGCUGUUCUUGACUAGCACAAUGGAGGAGCAACCAAAGAACUUAGAAGCAGCCAUUGUAACCUAGGUCAGAGGUGGAAAACCUGUGGCUCCUUUGAUGUCGCUGGUUACAACUCUCAUUCCAUCAUUCUCUCAUCAUCCUAGACAAUUGGCCCAUGCUGGAUAUUGGCCAAUGGGACUUGGAGUCCAACCACAUCUGGAAAGUCGCAGGUUCCCCACUCCUGUCCUAGGUGGCAAUGUAUGAAGUGGGUGGGUAUGCAUAGAAGGAAUGAUGGUAGACCUGGUUCAAAUGAUGCAGCUGUGUCUAUGGAGACCACCCAGAGAGGACUCUGCUAGACCGCAUCAGCAUGAAUCCAUUAUAUUAACCAUGAAAGGUUGCUCAUAGGCAUACAGGCAGAAUCUCCCAGCUCUACUCCAAUUCCAGUUCUGACAUCCCCAAUAAUUACAUGAUUAUCUGGCAAACAUUUACACAACUUUCCAGAAUUCUGAUUAUUAGGUUUCUGCUUUCAGUUGAAAAUUCCACACUUUGAUAAAAGUAUGUGGCAAUUGCACUUGUGUGUCAGGCUUCAGGGAAUCGGAUACCUCCCCCAGUGGCAGUAAUUAAGAAGAUCAAACAAAAGGAGCGUUCUUACCAGAUAGUUUCUUUAAUAAUCACAGCGAAGGACAAAGGAAUGCAUAUCUCUCUAAAAAUGAUGUUGCUCCCAGUUAAGGUCCACACCCUCCGUCCCCAUUAAUCUACAUCACUCCUACGUCGGGUAAUCUGAGCUUGUUGCCUCUGCGCUUUCUGUUCUAUCACUCAGUGCCCAUCUAGUCCUAGGUAAAGGGGGGGGGUCAGGAAUGCUGUCCAAGGACACUGAAUCUGCCAGCUGUCUCUCUCCUGGUGUUUCCUCUUCUAGCUGUUCCUCACCCUGUAUUUCCCAGCUUUUCUCCUCUGGACUAUACCCCUCUGCAAACCACUAUUCUAAAUCAAUCCUGUCCUCCUGCCCUUGGGAAGGUUCAGGAGAAGGAGUUGGGCGGUUCCCACCAUUCCUCCUCAGUCCAGUCCCUGACAUCGUUCUUUGCAAAUCUCAAGCAUUUGGUUAAUCUGUGCAGAGCAUUUUAGACAAUAGUUAAAUGUUCUUGUGUUUAUAGCUACAGUAUAACUCAGGAGUUGCCAGUGUUGUGCCCUCCAGAGAUUGUUGGACUACAAACUCAUAUGGUGUCUGGCCAUGGGCCACGUAAGUUGGAAAUGAUGGGAGUUGCAAUAGGAGGUGUGUAUUUGUGUGGAACCUUUAUAACAAACUGUUCCUCUGGUGCUACUGCAGAUUUUCUAAGUGUGCUGCUGUCACAAAACAAAAGCAGAGCCUGUAACUCACUCCUGAAAACUCUGGAAAAACCAGGCAUUGUUCAAACUAGGUCCCCUUGUCUUUCCUGCAUGGCAGUCACUAAUAGCAGCCACUCACAAUUUCAGGGGCCGCUGCUCCUACCUGUACAUGAUUUCAGCAACACCCCUUAAAUCUCUAAUGCUCCCCUCCUCAAAAAGCAAUAACCCUUCCCACUGUUAAGCUCCGCUGCUUAAUGCUUGGAAGACGGAGUCAACAAUGUCAUCUCUGGCAUGCUAGGGGUGCUCUCAGCCCUCUGGGCUACCCAAAUCCAUAUACAGAGAAGCAUUUGGUUCAAGAUGGUUUUUCUUGCCAGUGCCUGACUCUGCCUCGCUUGGGGUGUGUGUGUGUGCUUUUCCACUACUUUAAUGAAAGCAGGAGGGAAGAACAUUACCACAUUUUUAAUGGUGUGACUCCACAGGCCUCUAAGAUCUAAUGAUGGCCUAUUAGAGGGUCUCUGUAGCUUUUAACGAGGCACUGACAUUUUUUAAUUUUUGCCUCAGCCACUGGAGACUCCUUACAGGAGGUCAAAGCUGGUUGAUUUAUGCCCAUCCUGCCGUCUUGGUUUAUCCAACUGCCUCCCCGUUAUGCAAGGGCCUGGUGACUCACAAAGGCUGGCUGGCUUUGAUUUCUGCAUGGUUUGAGCCCAUGUUUGGGAAGGGUUUCCCACUGAAUGCCCCGAGCUGCUACAUUCUCAAAGGGCAAGCGCUCUCUGACCACUGUUUAUAGGUUCCGCAUAAUGCAAACCUUCCAGGCUGCAUUCUAAAGCAUCAAGCCCAGAUUUGACUCUACUUUGAUGCUUUCUUGUGGGGGUGGAGAUAUUUGGCAUCACAGUUCAGAUCAGGUCGCCGUCAACCAAUCUACACAUGUGUAUUCUGAACUUCGAGGCUCCCUGGUUUUUCCACCUGAGUGAGGACCAGACAAUAGAUCCUUGCUUCAUUUAUUUUUAACAUUUCUAUACUGCCCGCCACCAAAAGACCACAGGGUGGUUUGCAACUCAGAACAGAAAUAAACAGCACAUCAACACAUAAUGUUUCAGAAACUUAAAAUGGGUAUAUAAGUACAAUUCAUAAUAAUAAACAAUACAUAGCAGUAAAGAAUACAGUACAUAAUACAGACCCUCCAAGUGUCCCUGUUUUCCAGGGACAGUCCCGGAUUUACAGAAGACAUCCUGGUUUCUGAUUUGAUCCCGGAAUGUUGCACGCAAUUGUGAAUUUUUAAUGGUGUCUGCUCUUUGGUCCUCAUAUUGUUUAAGAAACUGUGUGCUUUGUAGGGUCAUCUUUAAAUGUAAACUGAAUCAAAUUCCCCACCCCCAUCCUUAGUUUUAACACACACCAGUUUGUAGGGUAACUGGGAGGAAAUGGAAAGAAUUCUGCCCCUUUGAGUUCUGUGCUCAGUCCAGACUGCUCCUCAUCCAGGUCUCUGCUCUUCUAGCCAGCUAGUGGCUCCUUCCACUCCAGGUUCUGUUUUCACUUGCCAAGUUAUGGGAUGAUGGACCUCGUUGGACCAGAAGGCAAGAAAAGAAAGACAUAAAAACAAAGGAAAGCCAUCCAAGUGGCAAAAUUACGACUUGGCUAUGACAGUAAAUCUUGUGCUGCAGGUCCUUGCCAGCUCCUCUCUCCCACAAUGAGUCAAUUGGUGAAGAACAUAUUGUUUUUUAGGAAAGGCAUCUACAACUUUCGUUUAUUUUGUUGACAUUUUCAAAGGACAUUUUGAAACUUGGUUUAACUGCCCAUGUCAGGAAGAUUUCAGUGAGGAUGAGACAAGGGAAUCAGAGCUUACAAAAGUUCUAUAAAACACACACAACCUCCCAAAGCAAUGAAGAAAAGUAUUGAGUUCAAAUUACUAAUCAGGGAAAUGUGAUUACUUGAUUCUUUUUUAGGUUAAGGGGGGGCACAAUCACACAUUUGCAGAUUGUUUUUACAAUGAAAAUAUAAUGAUGGGCAACCAUUGUACAAAAUCUACAGUAUACAGUCAGGAAAGAGAGGUAAAAGGUAAAAGGUAAAGGUAAAGGACCCCUGGAUGGUUAAGUCCAGUCAAAGGUGACUAUGGGGCUGCGGCGCUGAUCUCACUUUCAGGCCAAGGGAGCCGGUGUUUGUCCGCAGACAGCUUUCUGGGUCAUGUGGCCAGCAGGACUAAACCGCUUCUGGAGCAAUGGAAUGCUGUGACAGAAACCAGAGCGCACGGAAACACCAUUUACCUUCCCACCACAGCGGUACCUAUUUAUCUACUUGCACUGGUGUGCUUUCGAACUGCUAGGUUGGCAGGAGCUGGGACAGAGCAAUGGGAGAUCACUCCAGCGUGGGGAUUCAAACUGCCAACCUUCUGAUCGGCAAGCUCAAGAGGCUCAGUGGUUUAGACCACUAGGAGAACAUCAGCCUAUGUAUGCAGAUGAUCUCAAGUUCUAGCCCCAGCAUUUCCAGGUAAGCCUUGGGAAAGACUCCCUGGAGAGCCAUUGCCACUCAUUGUAGAUUAAUGGUGGAGACCCUCUGGCCUGUGGGCCUGGCUAGGUCCACCAGAUCUCCCCAACUGGCCCACGAGGCCAUUUUGGCUACAAUACACCCACCUGCCUUAUACCCUAUGGCCUGUGAUGUCAGGUGCGGGGCACGGCUGAACCAAAGGAGAUGUGCAGAAACCACCAAUCAGCUGAUUGGCCGCACAGCACUUUGCAAGCUGGCCCUACCAUUAGGCAGAAUGAGGUAACUGUCUCAAGUCACAAAUGCUAGAGGGCAGCAGGGCCAGUUCUCUGGCUGGUCCUCACCAGACUCCUGGCUGUAUCCUUCUGCUGGAGAACAGAGCUGUGCCCAGAAGCCUCAGCGAUAAGCUUUGGUGCCACAAGCUGCCAAUUUCUCUGUGAGGUUUCACUCUUGUGAUGAGCUGUCAGAGCUGCAGCUUGGGCCAUUCUCUUGAUAAUGAAGUGUCCCUAGGCUCUGGGCUGGCCCUACCCCCUCAGGCCAUGGAUUGUACUGGGAGACUUACCUCUGGCUAGCACAUAGACUAAUGCCUAACCCAGCCUGAGCAGCACAAUACCUUCAUUCCAUACAUAGAAAGUGUCUGGACUGGUAGUGGGAAAUCCUGCUUCAGCACUGUCAACAGGAUAGUGCCCACUGGUGUCGCACACAGCUCUGUCUCCCAACAGGAGGAUACAGCCAGGAGGAACAAGUGGGGGGCAGCCCCUGCGGCCUUCCAGCAUUUCCUGCCUGAGGUGGUUGCCUCAUUCUACCUAAUGGUAGGGCCGGCCUUGGUUAGUCCACCUGUUUUUGUAUUGUCUACACUGCCUGGCAGUGAAUUAUCAUGUUUUUCAAGAGGAGUUUUGUGUCAUACCAGCCCUUCCUGGAAGUUCUAGGGAUUGAACCUGGAACUUUCUGCAUGCACUGCCUACGUUCUCCCUCCAUUGUUGGAGGCAGAGAUGAGAUCCAUUUUGUUGUUUCUUCUUUCCCUUCAGAACACAAUCACUUGAACAAUUAAGCUAUAUCACGUGUGAAUUUUCAGUUGGCAGAAACUGGUCUUCAUGGGGGUAUUUAGCACUUGCCAAACUGGAUGUUGCAGAAUCCGCAUAGCCAAGUAUAAUGCCAGCUGUUUCUGAUAUGGCAGGCAGCUGUGGGCUUAUCAGCCCCAGAGGUGUAUGUAAGUAGCAAUUUAAAGUGCUUCUUAAAAUGGGUAAGGACAGCUCCAUAGUUACGAGGCUAACUCGACAUAAUCUUGUUAUCUGCAUCCUGUUUAAUUAUGGCUAACUGAUAGUAAUCGAUGACAUCCUGCAACAAUGAAUUACCAUGUUCUAAUUACAGCCUGCGUUCUUUCUCUCUCCUUUGAAGAAGAAAAAGGUGGAGGCAAAUGGAAGGACAUUUCUAUUCAUCGGUCCUGAUACUACGUUUUAAGAUUAUCUUAUAGCAACAUUCUGGCAAUAUAUCAGCAUUAACUUUAGAGUCACAUUUUCCAAAAUGGCAGAUGAACUGUGGAUAUUAGAACUUCUGAGACCACCAAGAGGAGGUUUCUUUACGUAGCAG